AUUGAACGCUGGCGGCAGGCCUAACACAUGCAAGUCGAGCGGAUGAAGGGAGCUUGCUCCUGGAUUCAGCGGCGGACGGGUGAGUAAUGCCUAGGAAUCUGCCUGGUAGUGGGGGAUAACGUCCGGAAACGGGCGCUAAUACCGCAUACGUCCUGAGGGAGAAAGUGGGGGAUCUUCGGACCUCACGCUAUCAGAUGAGCCUAGGUCGGAUUAGCUAGUUGGUGGGGUAAAGGCCUACCAAGGCGACGAUCCGUAACUGGUCUGAGAGGAUGAUCGGUCACACUGGAACUGAGACACGGUCCAGACUCCUACGGGAGGUAGCAGUGGGGAAUAUUGGACAAUGGGCGAAAGCCUGAUCCAGCCAUGCCGCGUGUGUGAAGAAGGUCUUCGGAUUGUAAAGCACUUUAAGUUGGGAGGAAGGGCAGUAAGUUAAUACCUUGCUGUUUUGACGUUACCAACAGAAUAAGCACCGGCUAACUUCGUG
rnacentral:rRNA from 1 species